ACAGAACUCAAAGCAGGCAGUGUGGUGGAUGUUAGGCAGCUGCAGGCACAAAACUGCAUUGGCUUCCCCACUGCAAAGCCCAGCCUCCAGGCAGUGAUGCAGCAGAGGUGAUGUAUAUGUGAUGGCAUCCUCGCAAGGCCCCUGCUGAAAUCAAGAUGGUCUUUGGUACGGGAGUUUUGCAGUUCUCUCUCUCCAAGGGCAGUCCUCAAAACACAGAAAAUGGACCAAUACUACAGCUGCAACUAGAGGAGACUAUGACACCUACUCUCUUCCCUGAAGUGUCUGACCUUCACAAGCCAGAACACAAAGCCCAUCAGUCUGACACCAGCUGAAGGUGGCUUCAGGUAUGGCUUCAGAAUUUUGGCUCUGGAUGCAUUUUAACAUCAGUCUGGAAGGACCAGAGGAUACAAGGGUUUAGGUAUAAAAUUCCUUUUUUUUAAAAAAAAAAAAAAAAGUAUUGGUAGGUAAUUUUUUUUUUUUUUUGUCUCUUGUCACACUGCAAAUGGGGGUGUACAUGUAGAAAAAAAACCAAACAAACCACAAAACAACAGCAACAAAACAACAACAAAAACCUGUAAGGAAUCUUCAUUUGCAGCAGUUUUACUUUUGAUAAGUACAGCUAACACUAAUCCAAUGAGGAAGGUGUCAUUGCCUUCUAAUUAACUGGAGGGUGAGGGCAAGGGAGAAUUACAUUAAUGUGGAAGCAGCCUGCAAAGUUGCUGCAUGCUACAAUAAAAUAUUUUGCACUAGAAUUUUCUGAGAGGCU
rnacentral:lncRNA from 1 species